AUGCUUCCCUGGCAGGGGAGGCGCCCUGAUCACGAGGGCAGUUUUCCCAGGGUGGGGCCUGUCCACCGCAUCCAGGUGAGCUGACCCCUCCGCUUCCCCAGCCGUGGGAAACUGACAGCAUCACUUGUGGUAGUGGGCAGCUGUGCUUGCACUCUCCCCC